GAUGAACGCUGGCGGCGUGCCUAAUACAUGCAAGUCGAGCGAACAGAUAAGGAGCUUGCUCCUUUGACGUUAGCGGCGGACGGGUGAGUUACACGUGGAUAACCUACCUAUAAGACUGGGAUAACUUCGGGAAACCGGAGCUAAUACCGGAUAACAUAUUGAACCGCAUGGUUCAAUAGUGAAAGGCGGCUUUGCUGUCACUUAUAGAUGGACCCGCGCCGUAUUAGCUAGUUGGUAAGGUAACGGCUUACCAAGGCAACGAUACGUAGCCGACCUGAGAGGGUGAUCGGCCACACUGGAACUGAGACACGGUCCAGACUCCUACGGGAGGCAGCAGUAGGGAAUCUUCCGCAAUGGGCGAAAGCCUGACGGAGCAACGCCGCGUGAGUGAUGAAGGUCUUCGGAUCGUAAAACUCUGUUAUCAGGGAAGAACAAAUGUGUAAGUAACUGUGCACAUCUUGACGGUACCUGAUCAGAAAGCCACGGCUAACUACGUG
rnacentral:rRNA from 1 species